GACAAUCAUCAGGAUCCAGUAGUUUUUGGCUUGGCAAUUGCUUUGGGAGUCUGUGGAGUUAUAAUCUUUACUCUAAUAUGUCUGACCUUUCACAGAGGAAUGUGUCCACAGUGUCUGAGAGGUUCUGGACAAGACAACAGAAUUAGAAGGGUGUCAGGUGCUCAGGAAACUGAUGAUGGGAAUUUGACAUAUGCAGCCUUGCGAUUCAGUCGGAAAAAAGCAAAAUCUGGAGAAAAUAGAGAAAAGCUCCAGCAGAGUGUGAAUAUCAAUGUAAUAUAAUUCACAAAAUUAGAGGAUGAAUUAUAAGGAUAAAUAAAUAUGAAAUCUAAUUUUCC